rnacentral:lncRNA from 1 species
UUUCUCUCGAUUGUUCUUGUUCUUGUAUUAUUGUUCUUGUUCUUAUAUUAUUUCAUAACACGAAACUGGUUUUUACUCAUAUCUUUAAUUUAUUAUUAUGACUGCGCGUUACCCUAGUUAGUCGUAAUUGAGGACUCGUUUUACGAUCUAGAGGCUGUUUGGAUAAGCUUAAAAGCUUUUAAACCAUUUUUAAUUGUUGGGAGCGUUUGGCAAAAUAUAAAACAACUUAAAAAAAAAGUUAAAAAAGGCUUAAAAAAAGCUAAAAGCCAAAAGUGGGCUAAUCCUAACUUUUCCAUUUUUGGCUUAAAAGUCAUCUUAUGUUGACCGAUGAAAUUACCUGUUUGUCCUUAUAACUUUUGCUAAUCUCAAAACGAUCCUCAUCAAAGAUCAAAUGAAUCUAAAAAUGUUUAUCUUCUUUCCUAUUCUUUCUGUACAUCUUCUCAAAACUCACAUUUCUGUUCAUCUUCUUUUCUGUUCUUCUCCUUCAUCUUCAGUUGUUCUAUAAUUUCAUUCAAGUUUUUAGUAGAAAUCGAUCCUUGCUGUAAGUUUAUUAUUCUUUCCUUAUGCUUUUUUCCUUAUAUGUAUUUUAUUUGAGGUAUGAGAACGGAGAAAAAUCAUAUAUGCCCCUGAAUUAUACGUUUUAGAUCAAUAAUGCCCUUCAUCCACCUAUUGGGCCAAAUAUGUCCUUCCAUUAAUGUUUUUGGCUCACAAAUGCUAUUUGAGUUAACAGAGGGGCACGUGUCAUCAUCCUGUUGGUGCAUUCUGAAUAUUUCGUAAUUAAUUAAAAAGACUCAUUAUUCAUACACAAAAAAUAAUUUUCGAGAGCAAUUCUUCUAAAAAAGUUUUUUUUACUAAAAAUUGAAGAAUAUGCUCCUGACUUAUACGUUUUGGAGUCAAUAAUGCCCUUCAUCCACCUAUUGGGCUUAGGGGUGUUUAUCGAGCGGAUUGGGCGGCUUUUUACUCUUAACGGUUUUGCUUAAUGGUUAUCGACUUUUAAAUAUAUUAAUAUGUUAGCCACCCGAUAAGAUAUCGGGCGGAUUGAUAUCGGGUUAGCUCUUAUAGGGCGGUUAU